rnacentral:rRNA from 1 species
CGGGGUGCACCAGGCGCGAAAACUUUACAAUGCGGGAAACCGUGAUAAGGGGACACCGAGUGCCAGCAUCAUAUGCUGGCUGUCCAGGUGUGUAAAAUACACCUGUUAGCAAGGGCCGGGCAAGACCGGUGCCAGCCGCCGCGGUAACACCGGCGGCCCGAGUGGUGAUCGUGAUUAUUGGGUCUAAAGGGUCCGUAGCCGGUUUGGUCAGUCCUCCGGGAAAUCUGACGGCUCAACCGUUAGGCUUUCGGGGGAUACUGCCAGGCUUGGAACCGGGAGAGGUAAGAGGUACUACAGGGGUAGGAGUGAAAUCUUGUAAUCCCUGUGAGACCACCUGUGGCGAAGGCGUCUUACCAGAACGGGUUCGACGGUGAGGGACGAAAGCUGGGGGCACGAACCGGAUUAGAUACCCGGGUAGUCCCAGCCGUAAACGAUGCUCGCUAGGUGUCAGGCAUGGCGCGACCGUGUCUGGUGCCGCAGGGAAGCCGUGAAGCGAGCCACCUGGGAAGUACGGCCGCAAGGCUGAAACUUAAAGGAAUUGGCGGGGGAGCACAAGGGCGAAUUCGC